GCAGUCGAGCGGUAGCACAGAGAGCUUGCUCUCGGGUGACGAGCGGCGGACGGGUGAGUAAUGUCUGGGAAACUGCCUGAUGGAGGGGGAUAACUACUGGAAACGGUAGCUAAUACCGCAUAAUGUCGCAAGACCAAAGUGGGGGACCUUCGGGCCUCAUGCCAUCAGAUGUGCCCAGAUGGGAUUAGCUAGUAGGUGGGGUAACGGCUCACCUAGGCGACGAUCCCUAGCUGGUCUGAGAGGAUGACCAGCCACACUGGAACUGAGACACGGUCCAGACUCCUACGGGAGGCAGCAGUGGGGAAUAUUGCACAAUGGGCGCAAGCCUGAUGCAGCCAUGCCGCGUGUGUGAAGAAGGCCUUCGGGUUGUAAAGCACUUUCAGCGGGGAGGAAGGCGAUAAGGUUAAUAACCUUGGCGAUUGACGUUACCCGCAGAAGAAGCACCGGCUAACUCCGUGCCAGCAGCCGCGGUAAUACGGAGGGUGCAAGCGUUAAUCGGAAUUACUGGGCGUAAAGCGCACGCAGGCGGUCUGUCAAGUCGGAUGUGAAAUCCCCGGGCUCAACCUGGGAACUGCAUUCGAAACUGGCAGGCUAGAGUCUUGUAGAGGGGGGUAGAAUUCCAGGUGUAGCGGUGAAAUGCGUAGAGAUCUGGAGGAAUACCGGUGGCGAAGGCGGCCCCCUGGACAAAGACUGACGCUCAGGUGCGAAAGCGUGGGGAGCAAACAGGAUUAGAUACCCUGGUAGUCCACGCCGUAAACGAUGUCGAUUUGGAGGUUGUGCCCUUGAGGCGUGGCUUCCGGAGCUAACGCGUUAAAUCGACCGCCUGGGGAGUACGGCCGCAAGGUUAAAACUCAAAUGAAUUGACGGGGGCCCGCACAAGCGGUGGAGCAUGUGGUUUAAUUCGAUGCAACGCGAAGAACCUUACCUGGUCUUGACAUCCACAGAACUUUCCAGAGAUGGAUUGGUGCCUUCGGGAACUGUGAGACAGGUGCUGCAUGGCUGUCGUCAGCUCGUGUUGUGAAAUGUUGGGUUAAGUCCCGCAACGAGCGCAACCCUUAUCCUUUGUUGCCAGCGGUCCGGCCGGGAACUCAAAGGAGACUGCCAGUGAUAAACUGGAGGAAGGUGGGGAUGACGUCAAGUCAUCAUGGCCCUUACGACCAGGGCUACACACGUGCUACAAUGGCAUAUACAAAGAGAAGCGACCUCGCGAGAGCAAGCGGACCUCAUAAAGUAUGUCGUAGUCCGGAUUGGAGUCUGCAACUCGACUCCAUGAAGUCGGAAUCGCUAGUAAUCGUAGAUCAGAAUGCUACGGUGAAUACGUUCCCGGGCCUUGUACACACCGCCCGUCACACCAUGGGAGUGGGUUGCAAAAGAAGUAGGUAG
rnacentral:rRNA from 1 species